AUUUCAGCAACAGAUGUCUUGGUUCACAUGUUGAUGAAGGGUGCAGCGAAGUGCAGUAAUCAUUGUGAAUUGCAGAAUUCCGUGAAUCAAUUGACCAUUGAACGCAGAAGUGCCCUUGGGGCAUUCCUGAGGGCAUGCUUGUGUCAGUGUUUUC
rnacentral:rRNA from 1 species